GAUGAACGCUGGCGGCGUGUCUAAGGCAUGCAAGUCGAACGGACUGUUAUUUGUAGCAAUACUUAGAACAGUUAGUGGCAAACGGGUGCGUAACACAUUGGUAACCUGCCUCAAAGUCGGGCAUAAUCCCGCGAAAGUGGGACUAAUUCCACGAUAGUCAUCGAAGGUGAGAUUCCUUCGAUGUAAAGUCGCAAGACGCUUUGAGAGGGGCCUAUGGCCUAUCAGCUUGUUGGUGAGGUAACGGCUCACCAAGGCUAUGACGGGUAGGGGGUGUGAGAGCACGACCCCCCUCACUGGGACUGAGACACUGCCCAGACACCUACGGGUGGCUGCAGUCGAGAAUAUUCCCCAAUGGCCGAAAGGCUGAGGGAGCGACGCCGCGUGCAGGAAUAAGGCCUU
rnacentral:rRNA from 1 species